rnacentral:lncRNA from 13 species
AUGGCUACAGUCUUCAUCUGUUCCGUCUGUACCGAAGUCUUCGUUGGACAUAUAUCGCUGAGCUGCCAGCACACCUUCUGUAGACGUUGCCUCCAGAAGAGUAUGGACUUCGGUUGCGUUAUCUGUCCGGUGUGCGGGGAUCCAAUCACGUCGGAGAACAUCAGAGUCAACAGAAUACUAAGGGACAUGGCAGAUGAAGUGAGACAGAGAAGAGUUGAUCUCAGAGUGUUGAAGAGGAAUGAGGACAUUGAUGUGAAUAACUGGGAAACCGAGGAGAAGAAGAAGAAGAAGAAGGAGAAUGUGAAAACAUCAAAGUCCUUGGUGAAGGAAGGCCUGGCUGCCAGAAAGACAGAGAGGAAGUUAAAGUCGUCUCUGACCACUGGUCCCUGGGAGGAGGGACCCUUUUAAAAAGAACGUUAUUGUCACAACCUGCUGAGGUGGUUGUUCAUCUCUUCAAAGAAGCUCCCGGUCUGAGGCACCGCAUCUCAGUGCAAAAAGGCGUCACUACAGUCCCUGGUUUGAAUCCAGGCUGUAUCACAUCCGGCUAUGAUUGGGAGUCCCAUAGGGUGGCGUACAAUUGGCCCAGCGUCGUCCGGGUUUGGCCGGGGGGGUAGGCCGUCACUGUAAAUAAGAAUAUGUUCUUAACUGACUUGCCAGGUUAAAUAAAGGUUACAAAUUAACAUUUUAAAAGGAGGCGUUUAACCAAUCCAAUAACCAUCUGUUACAGUUCAAUACUUCCAAUCAAAUAUAUGAGUUCUGGUUUACGAUAUACAGUACUUCACAGUUAGUCCAGUGGAACCAGGUUAGUCCAGUUUAACCAGGUUAGUCCAAUUUAACCAGGUUAGUCCAGAUUUAACCAG